AUGGGAAAAACCAUUGUUUCACUUGUUAUAGUUCUCCUUGUUGUGCCAAUAUUUCUAGAUGGUUACAAUGCUGAGGCAGAAAAAAGAUAUAAUCAACUGAAUAAAGAUGAUGGUUUUGUCCAUUUAACGAUCAGACUAAUAUCGCACCUUAUAGCAGUGAUGCUCCUACACCUGAGAGUGGUCCUCUUUUAUGAUUAUUGA